UACGAAGGGUGCAAACGUUGCUCGGAAUUAUUGGGCGUAAAGCGCACGUAGGCGGCAUUGCAAGUUGGAUGUGAAAUCCCUCGGCUUAACCAAGGAAGUGCAUCCGAAACUGCAGUGCUUGAGUACUUAAGAGGAUCGCGGAAUUCCCGGUGUAGAGGUGAAAUUCGUAGAUAUCGGGAGGAACACCAGUGGCGAAGGCGGCGAUCUGGGAAGAUACUGACGCUGAGGUGCGAAAGCGUGGGGAGCAAACAGG
rnacentral:rRNA from 1 species